GGGGGUGUAGUUGAAUGGUAGAGCAUGUGAUUAUCCCUGGGUUCAAUUCCCAGCCCCCUCC
rnacentral:tRNA from 1 species